UAUUUUAAUAGCUUAUUUUAUAGAGCAUGAUAUUGAAGAUAUCAAGGAGGUGAUAACUUUAAAAUAC
rnacentral:tRNA from 1 species